CGGCGAGCGAAAUGGGAGCAGCCUAAACCGUGAAAACGGGGUUGUGGGAGAGCAAUACAAGCGUUGUGCUGCUAGGCGAAGCGGUUGAGUGCCGCACCCUAGAUGGCUAAAGUCCAGUAGCCGAAAGCAUCACUAGCUUAUGCUCUGACCCGAGUCGCAUGGGGCACGUGGAAUCCCGUGUGAAUCAGCAAGGACCACCUUGCAAGGCUAAAUAC
rnacentral:ncRNA from 1 species